GAUAUCGCUUUAUACUCACGAUCUUGUAUCCACUGACUGUCUUGUUAGAUUAACCAAAUAAAUUUCAUUCACUCCGCAUACUCAAUCCUAUAGACAUCCUUUUAACUCUUCAUCACAGACGUAACUCGAUUUCACAAAACAGUCAAGAGUAAUCAAACCCACUUCAUUAAAAAUCCCGAUUCACCAUUAUAACACUGACUUCAGCAACGAUUGCCUCAGUCUUCCCAAAAUCCUAUGAAGAAAAAAAAACCCAAUUCUCUGUCU
rnacentral:lncRNA from 1 species